rnacentral:tRNA from 1 species
CUAGGGAGAAAGGAUUUGAACCUAUAUCUAAGAGUCCAAAACUCUUCAUAUGCCCAACCAUACUCCUCCCUA